CUCUACUCUGCAGCUGCAGAUAAAGGUCCCUCCUGGAGCCUCUGGCCAAAGGUGCCUGGUGAGACGUGAGGGCGACCACUGGGUUUCUGGAGCCGAAGCUACAGAGGUUCUGAGGCCAAUUCCACCCCUGAGGAGAAGGAAAUCUUAGCAGCCUAUGAAGGCAUACGAGCAGCUUCAGAGCUUUCAGAUUCAGCAAUGUCCUCACUCCUGACAGACCAGGGUCCCCUUUCCAGAGUAAUGGAGGAGCACCGUGAUUUUUUAAUCCAAAAUUCCCGGAUUUGAAUGAAAUGCUCUGGAAAGGCUCUGGAAAUCAUUGGGUGUUCACAAUCAUCAAUGAAGAUGUUCACCAGGAAUUGCUGAUCACUGGCCUCCAGCUGGAUGUUGCACUCCUGAUCACCACCCUGGCCAGCAGAUUUCAACCAGCCUGCUGUCUGCUCAUCCAGCCCAUACUUCAUGGGCUUCUCUGUGAGGGAGCCCUGUCUGUGUCCACUAGUACACACAUUCAUUUUGAUUUUAAAAAAUCAAACAGAAGUGAGAGUUUUAAGAGCAGAAUUAUUUUUCAAAGGGAAAUAGAAGGGUAAGAGUUUUCAAUUUUAAUGAUCAUGUUUUACAUGAUGCUAAUUGACAUCUAGUAGAAAUGAGAGAGCACCUUAAGAGACAAAUCUACAUUCUCUAUUUAUGCCUCUGAAUUACAGGUAUGGCUUUGAUGGAACGAGUGCCUUCAAGCUCCAUUGGCAGGCACUGUUUGAAAACUAUUUGGGUGAUUUUGGAUAAGAAAUGAAAGAU